AAUUUAUUGUGCGAAUUCCUACAUUUUCUCUUUACUAUAUUGACAUCUUAAUCCAUUUGUUUUGUUUUAGACUGCACUGCAUUGGGCUGCAAAGCAAGGUAAAGCAGAGGUCAUCAAAUUAUUAGCUGGUAAACCAGGACUCAGUAUGAAUCAAAGAUCAUAUGUAAGUAUAGUAUUAAUUGUUUUAUAACUUAAACCCUCUGUGUGCCAGAAAUAUUUUAAAAUUGAUCAAUAAUAAAUUGUAAUACAUGUAGGUGUUCUAUUAUCUAUAUUUACUUGUUAGUCUAGAAUGAUGAUGCUUUUAAUGAUGAAAUACCUGCCUUGGCUUGGCUUAAUAUUUAGAGAAGAUUAUUGCUUGUGUUUAUUUUGUCAUAGAGUAUAUUUCUUUACUUUUUUAAUUUCAUGUGUUCCACAAUUUUAGGGGGGAUACACAGCACUUCAUUUAGCAGCGAUGCAGGGACAUGAAGAUAUCAUAGAAUUAUUAGUUCAAAAUUAUAAGGCUGAUUCUAAUAUAAGAGAUUACAGCGGGAAAAAAGCUAAACAAUAUUUAAAGAACUCAGCUUCAUCACGCACACAACCGAUCACAAUAUCUUUGAGCAACAAACAGGUUGAUAAAAAAUUACUAUUAUCAAGAAGACUUGCAGCUACAUCAACCAACAAAGGUCAAUCGCUUGAUGACAGUUUUCUUCGUACUAAUUUACGAAAGAGUAAUCGUGCUAGGGCUAUAUCAUCCUUAAUUCAAGCCACAGCCUCAGCAGUACAUCGUAAUAAAUCUACUAUGCUACGAGCUAGUUGGGGUAGUUCAUCAGAAGAUGUUACAGAAGAUCCUACUCCUCCUGGUAGUACUCAUUCAUCACCAUCUAAUAAACGUAAAAGUUCUGGAAGUGAACCUAAAGACCGAUUUUUAAUGCCUCCUCCCAGUGCACCCACACAGAGACGUAAUAAAUCUGCCAGUAGAGAUAAUUUAACAACACAAAGUGCCAGUGCAAUAGAUGAAAGAAGUUUAACAAAUUCUAACAGUGAUUCAGCUUUAUCCAGUAAAGUGACAGUCAUAAACUAGUUCUGUUAUUUAUAUAAAGGUGCCAUAUUGUUUAUUGUUAUAAUCAUGCCAUGAUGAAUUUAUAUUUUUCUACAACUAUUGGCAAUGAAAUUCUUUAAAUCUUAAAUAUAUAAGAUUCUGUGGUUCAGAAAAAAAAAAAAAAAAAAAAAUCAACAAUUUACCAAAAACAAGUAGUUGGUUGGUGUAAAAAUCUCUUCUUCUUGAUUAAGGUUGGCACUGUGAUAGCAGGCCCCUGAAAAACAAAGCUUGUCCAAAAAUUAAAAAAUACCUGGAUGUCCUAUUCAUGGCUGUGUCCCAGGCAAGUUGUUGAAUAUGACAUGUUUGAAUAUGACAUGUCUAUACUUUUACCAAUCUUAUUAAAAUACAAAUCUAUAUUUCGUUUCAUUUUUUUAUACUUUCAAUGGCCUCUACUACAUGGGGUAAUACAUGCGGCUUUUGACCCUAUGACAUCAGACAUUUAAUUAAUCAAUCAGCAUUGAUGUUUCUAGUAGGAUACCCACAGUUCCGUGCAUCGCACGCUAAGAACUCGCUGCAACAGACUGUUUCAUUGGCUAAUCCCUCACAUCAACCAAAACGUGGGUUAUAUAACAACUCUUCCAGAUCCUAUGUAGUAAAGACAAGUAAAACAAAAUUUUGAACUAUAAAAAAACGAAACGAAAUAGGAUCUGUGUUUUAAUCAGAUUGUACUUUUAUUAAAUGGUUAUAUAUUAUAGUUAAAGUGUUAUAGUGCUUUGUUAAAUAAUAUAUUGUUAAGAGUUCCCCUUGAAUCAUUGACUAAGUCAUAUGUUGUUGGGGAAUAUUAUGUUAAGGAACUAAUUACAAUCUGCUACAAAUCAUAAAAUUCAUAGUCAGCAAAAUGCUACCGCUGGUACUGGUAUGUUAAAAAAAAUCAAAGAUAAAGGUUAGCCCGAUUACAUGCAUAAUGAUGGCCAUUUUUGAAAUGAUGCAAAUUCAUUUGGGUAUUAUCAAUUCAUAAAGUUUAUCCAUGACCUAUCAAUAAUUUCUAAUUAUAUAAUGAAUACUGCUUGUUUUUGUUUUUUUUUACUAUACCACUGAGAAUAUUCUACAUAGAUCUAUUAAAGAGAUGUAUCACCUAUAGUAGCCUCAAUUCAGGACUAAGGGACGUGUGUAGUUUUGGCUUGGCCAAUCCCCUGCCAUGGCCAAGUAGGCGCCAAAUAAUCAAGGUUUAUUGGUUAAACCAAGGGUAGUGUAUGGACCAGGGGGUCAAAUGAAAAUAAUCUCUCCCCCCCCCCCCUCCCCCGGAAAUAAACACCCAACAAAACAAGUUCCACCAUUUAUCCAUACGUUAACAAUUUGGGAAAAUAAGGAGAUAUUUAAUAAAUAUCUGUCAUUUAGACAGGCCAAUGGAACAUUUCUGGGAUGGGAAAUCAAAUAAAAAAUUUGUCUUGGUGCUCUUUCUUACUCACUCUGCCAAAACAAAUUCCUGGAUACAUGCUUUUUGUGGAAAUUGAAAGACUUAUAUGUUCAUCAUAUAAUAAUAUUUAAUAACGAAAUCAUAUAUUUUUUAAAUAAUAUUUUACAUUGCAUGAUAAAAUGUAUAUAAAUUGUAUAAUAUUUGUUAUACAUAUAUAAAGCUUUUCCCCAUGAAA